rnacentral:misc_RNA from 1 species
AAGGAUCAUUAUUACGUAUCCAACGUAUAAACCAAACGUGAAUUGUUUUCCGCUCAAAACGGGAGUUAAUGGCUUGGUUGCGCUAAGGUUCCACGUUAGUGAUAACAGGUUCGCCUGUUAGGAACUGCAACCUUGUCGCCACACACUUGUGUGUGGGACUCUUGCUUUGAUGCUGGUUAUUUCCACUAACAACUAUUAUUAACCUUUUGUACUUCAAAUUGAACUAACUAUGUUUCGUUUCAAUGGAUCCUUUGGGAUUCGUCGACACGAAAUCUAUAUACGUAACUAGAACAACUCUUAGCAACGGAUAUCUUGGCUCUC